GCCACACUGGGACUGAGACACGGCCCAGACUCCUACGGGAGGCAGCAGUAGGGAAUCUUCGGCAAUGGACGGAAGUCUGACCGAGCAACGCCGCGUGAGUGAAGAAGGUUUUCGGAUCGUAAAGCUCUGUUGUAAGAGAAGAACGAGUGUGAGAGUGGAAAGUUCACACUGUGACAGUAUCUUACCAGAAAGGGACGGCUAACUACGUGCCAGCAGCCGCGGUAAU
rnacentral:rRNA from 1 species